CCUACGGGGGGCUGCAGUAGGGAAUCUUCCGCAAUGGACGCAAGUCUGACGGAGCAACGCCGCGUGAGUGAAGCAGGAUGUCGGUUCGUAAAACUCUGUUGUUAGAGAAGAACAGCGCAUAGAGUAACUGUUAUGCGUGUGACGGUAUCUAACCAGAAAGCCACGGCUAACUACGUGCCAGCAGCCGCGGUAAUACGUAGGUGGGAAGCGUUGUCCGGAUUUAUUGGGCGUAAAGCGAGCGCAGGCGGUCAAUUAAGUCUGAUGUGAAAGCCCCCGGCUCACCCGGGGAGGGUCAUUGGAAACUGGUUGACUUGAGUGCAGAAGAGGAGUGUGGAAUUCCAUGUGUAGCGGUGAAAUGCGUAGAUAUAUGGAGGAACACCAGUGGCGAAGGCGACGCUCUAGUCUGUAACUGACGCUGAGGCUCGAAAGCGUGGGUAGCAAACAGGAUUAGAUACCCGAGUAGUC
rnacentral:rRNA from 1 species